UCCCCAUCGAGUCGAGUGUGUUUGCAUAUCAUCCGGUGUGAGAGGAGUUCCUUCCUUCAUAAGCUCGCUGAUGGCUUCAAACCAUAUCAAGACGGCCGCGCAUGCCCGAGGGGGCGUCCCCAAAUGUCCAUGCGACAACGUGUCUCGUUGGGCCAUGGAACCUGCAGACAAAAUCACUGGCAUCAGCAUUGGCGCUGCUUCAUGCGUAAACUCCAUUAAGAUAACCUUCGACAUCGACGGAACCACUCGCGUAACUCCCAGAUAUGGAGGCCCCGGCGGUGAACUAUUCCAGGCAUGCCUCUCCGACCUCCAUCCAUCCAUCCAUGCAUCUAUUAUUUUGCCUUCCCCUCCCUCCUACUAAUACCUGCUAUCAAAUAUAUAAAUCGCUAAAUGUAUCAUCGCUCUAAUUGCCUUGCAGUUUACUCUCAUGCAAGAUGAAUACCUCACCUCCGUUUCUGGGUAUGUCAAAUACGACUGUUCUGAAUUUCCAUGCGUCUCUCAGCUCACGUUUACCACCAAUCUUGGAAAGACAUACGGUCCAUAUGGAGGUGGGGGUGGAACCUUUUUUGAAGUCAACGUAGAAUAUGACGAGAUUAAGGGCUUCUUCGGACAAGCAACUACAGAGUAUCUCACUGCAUUUGGAGUCUACGUGAUGCUGGCUUAGCCAACCCUUGUGGAGGGUGUUGACUAUCUAUCUCUAUCUCUGUGUGCCAUGAUGAAUAAGGAUGCCAAUGUCUGUUACUGGCAUCUAUGUUUGAGUUGGGUGUGUGUUUGAGUAGUGUGAAAUAAAGUCUAUCUUCUGUCACUACUAAUAAUAUGACGCGUCUCAUUGAUAACA